rnacentral:rRNA from 1 species
GACUCCUACGGGAGGCAGCAGUGGGGAAUAUUGCACAAUGGGCGCAAGCCUGAUGCAGCGACGCCGCGUGAGGGAUGACGGCCUUCGGGUUGUAAACCUCUUUCAGCAGGGAAGAAGCGAAAGUGACGGUACCUGCAGAAGAAGCGCCGGCUAACUACGUGCCAGCAGCCGCGGUAAUACGUAGGGCGCGAGCGUUGUCCGGAAUUAUUGGGCGUAAAGAGCUUGUAGGCGGUUUGUUGCGUCUGCUGUGAAAGACCGGGGCUUAACCCCGGUAUUGCAGUGGGUACGGGCAGACUAGAGUGCAGUAGGGGAGACUGGAAUUCCUGGUGUAGCGGUGAAAUGCGCAGAUAUCAGGAGGAACACCGAUGGCGAAGGCAGGUCUCUGGGCUGUAACUGACGCUGAGAAGCGAAAGCAUGGGGAGCGAACAGGAUUAGAUACCCUGGUAGUCCAUGCCGUAAACGUUGGGCACUAGGUGUGGGGGACAUUCCACGUUUUCCGCGCCGUAGCUAACGCAUUAAGUGCCCCGCCUGGGGAGUACGGCCGCAAGGCUAAAACUCAAAGGAAUUGACGGGGCCCGCACAAG